AAUAGAUACCCUGGUAGUCCACGCCGUAAACGAUGAGUGCUAAGUGUUAGGGGGUUUCCGCCCCUUAGUGCUGCAGCUAACGCAUUAAGCACUCCGCCUGGGGAGUACGGUCGCAAGACUGAAACUCAAAGGAAUUGACGGGGGCCCGCACAAGCGGUGGAGCAUGUGGUUUAAUUCGAAGCAACGCGAAGAACCUUACCAGGUCUUGACAUCCCAUUGGCCACUAUGGAGACAUAGUUUUCCCUUCGGGGACAACGGUGACAGGUGGUGCAUGGUUGUCGUCAGCUCGUGUCGUGAGAUGUUGGGUUAAGUCCCGCAACGAGCGCAACCCUUGUUCUUAGUUGCCAUCAUUUAGUUGGGCACUCUAAGGAGACUGCCGGUGACAAACCGGAGGAAGGUGGGGAUGACGUCAAAUCAUCAUGCCCCUUAUGACCUGGGCUACACACGUGCUACAAUGGACGGUACAAACGGUUGCCAACCCGCGAGGGGAGCUAAUCCGAUAAAACCGUUCUCAGUUCGGAUUGUAGGCUGCAACUCGCCUACAUGAAC
rnacentral:rRNA from 1 species